CAAACAUAUUUCGACGAAUCUUAAAUUAGCUUAAAAAAAAAAAAAAAAAAAGCAGCAUUGAAAAAAGAAAAAGAAAUUGUUUUAACUCCUGUUAAAUACAGCUAACGAAAGGAGUAUUUGUUUUAAGAGCUGUGAGAUACAAUUAUAAAAAAAAAAAAAAAAAUUUGCAUCAAUUUGUAUCGAUUGAAACACUUAUACGAAAAGAUGAAAGAAGAAAAAAGAGAAACAAAAAUUGUUGUAACGAUUAUUAAAUACGAAAAAUAAUUUAUCUUAAACUGCUAUUAAAUGCAGCCAUUAAACGAAAUAUAUUUGACAAAGUUACUGACAGACGAGGAGAUAACAAUAAAGGAAAGCUUCCUCCAGGUGAAAAUAUUGAGAUAUGCUAAAGAAGGUCCAGAAUAAUCAUACUUGUAAGACGAAAAUUUCAAUUACCAUAAGUUCAGGCACAACCAAUAUUUGCCACGCUCUUGACACCUUUUCUGUGAAAAAGCCAAUUUAUCGUAUAUCGUUCUCUCAGCAUGGAAGCAUUUGUCAUAUACUGAUUGUGUUCAUUUGUAAGUACAUAUAUAACAACGAAUGCACACCGGACACACCUGCUUCCAUAUAUGGCUACAUGGUA